AAUCACAUCUAACUUCAAGGGAAAGUAAAAAAUAAAGUGUAGCUGAGUAACCAUGUACCUAGCACAUUCUAUUAAAAUGAAGGAAAGAGAGGACAGAUUUUAAUGGUCACUAGCUGUCUCCUGUCCAGGCUUUGGCCUUCACCACCUGUUUUAUGUAAGUGACUGCUGAGGCCUGAGGCCUGGCAAGGGUCCGCACAGUAGGGGGACUCACCAUGGUUGCUUGCUCAGCAUUCCAGGAGCCACCCCCACCGUCAGAGGACAGGCCCUGUGCUGAGCUCUUCUUUGUGCAACCAACCCAACAGAGCUACAAAGUCGGGACUGUGUGAAUCCCUAUUUUACACAUAAAGACUCCAACAGACAAGCAGAUCUCAACCCAAGGCCUCAUGAAGCACCAGGCAUCAGGCCACAUUCAUUUGUCUUCAGAGCCUGCAAGCUUCAUCAUCAUGCUGAGCACACGAGCCCUCUCCAGAGAGACAGAGAAACUUGGAGGUCGGAAGUGGCUACGCUUUAGAGAAUGGCAGUAUCUGCCUAGGAAGAGAAUUGAGUCAGUGGAAUAAACAGUCUGAUUCCUAAACUGUGGUGUAGCACUGACCAGGUGCAUGAACUUGGGCCUCCUUCAGCACCUCUGCCCACUGAACUGUAAAAUGGGAAUAAUAAUUCCUAACUGUUGGAAUGUUGUUGGAUUAAAUGAGAACAUAUACC